CGUAUAUUAAGUUGUUGCGGUUAAAAGCUCGUAGUUGGAUUUCUGUCCAAGACUGCCGGUCCGCUCUAUGAGCGUGUAUCUGGUUAGGCUUUGGCAUCCUCUUGAAGAACGUUGCUGUGCUUAAUUGCAUGGUGCGGUAUUCAAGACUUUUACUUUGAGGAAAUUAGAGUGUUCACGGCAGGCAAGCGCCUUGAAUACAUUAGCAUGGAAUAAUAAUAUAGGAUCGCGAUUCUAUUUUGUUGGUUUCUAGAAUCACGAUAAUGAUUAAUAGGGAUAAUUGGGGGCAUUUGUAUUAACGCGUCAGAGGUGGAAUUCUUGGAUUGCGUUACGACAAACUACUGCGAAAGCAUUUGCCAAGGAUGUUUUCAUUGAUCAAGAACGAAAGUAUGGGGAUCGAAGAUGAUUAGAUACCGUCGUAGUCUAUACCAUAAACUAUGCCAACUAGAGAUUGGAGGUCGUUCUUUUUAUGACUCCUUCAGCACCUUAUGAGAAAUCAAAGUCUUUGGGUUCCGGGGGGAGUAUGGUCGCAAGGCUGAAAC
rnacentral:rRNA from 1 species